rnacentral:rRNA from 1 species
GCAGCAGCCGCGGUAAUACGGAGGAUGCAAGCGUUAUCCGGAAUGAUUGGGCGUAAAGGGUCCGCAGGUGGCAUUGUAAGUCUGCUGUUAAAGAGUCUGGCUCAACCAGAUAAAAGCAGUGGAAACUACAAAGCUAGAGUAUGGUCGGGGCAGAGGGAAUUCCUGGUGUAGCGGUGAAAUGCGUAGAUAUCAGGAAGAACACCGGUGGCGAAGGCGCUCUGCUAGGCCAAAACUGACACUGAGGGACGAAAGCUAGGGGAGCGAAUGGGAUUAGAUACCCCAGUAGUCCUAGCCGUAAACGAUGGAUACUAGGCGUAGCUCGUAUCGACCCGAGCUGUGCCGUAGCUAACGCGUUAAGUAUCCCGCCUGGGGAGUACGCAGGCAACUGUGAAACUCAAAGGAAUUGACGGGGGCCCGCACAAGG